rnacentral:lncRNA from 1 species
UUCAACUGUUGCUUGAAGCAAGAGGUCCGGGACGACAGGUAAACAUCGUAUCCUCCCAUGAAAUCCCUCUCACCUUUUUCUCUCCCGACUCCGGAUCAUCCGCGGCGAGGAGCAGAAUAGUGGGUGAUGAGUGAGGCGGAUGAAUUCACCACUACACUGUCUUCUUCCCCAAAAGCGAAAGGAGUCGCCAUCACCAUCGAGAUCGAGCUUGAAAAAGAAGAUGAAAAACCAGGAAAGAACAAGAACACAACAAACCAGUCAGGACUUGAGAAACUGCCCACCCUCCCCCCUCCAUUAAAUUAUGCAGACCAACUUCCUGCGGGAGUCCAACUUCAACUUAAGUAAACAUUGAUUCUGGUCCGGUGUUGUUCCCCAUUAACACUCCACUCAAAUCUAACCUCCCCCGAAUAAAAUAAUCCCACCCCACCUCCCUCGUCCUCUCUCUCUCUCUCUCUCUCUCUCUCUCUCUCUCUCUCUCUCUCUCUCUGUGCGCGUGUGGCAAAGGGUGUCUCUUGUCUGUAACUGUUCAGUUCUUGGGGUUGCUUGGAGUACACAGGGCAUUUCAAUUCGUGGGUCGGUUUCGGUUUCGUGGAAUUAAUUUCGUGCUGGUGGAGAGAGGGAGGCGUUUAUGGUGGUCAGAGCCUCUGCGGGUUCCAGAGCAUGUUGUUUAGUCGCAGAGAGAUUGAUUAAAUCUCUCUUCUUUCCUUUUUUUUUCUUU